CAGUGGAGGCGUGGCCUGCAAUGACGGAGCGGGGCCGGCGUCCGCUUGCUCCAGUCGCGUAAACACAUGGCGUUUACGACUGUCUGGGAAGCCUGACGCCGUGACCUCCCGACGCCGCGAGACUCAAGGAAUGAACAUAAUAAUUUCCUACUAUUCUGCCACCGCGAUGCCGAAGGCGCCCAAGCAGCAGCUGCCGGAGCCCGAGUGGAUCGGGGACGGAGAGAACACGAGCCCAUCAGGUGAGGCUGGUAGGCAAGGAAGACACGAGAGGAAGGGGA
rnacentral:lncRNA from 1 species